rnacentral:rRNA from 1 species
CCUACGGGUGGCAGCAGUGGGGAAUAUUGCACAAUGGGCGAAACCCUGAAGCAGCGACGUCGCGUGAGUGAAGAAGUACCUCGGUAUGGAAAGCUCCAUUAGCAGGGGAGUGAAUGACGGUACCUGUAUAAGAAGCCCCGGCUAACUACGUGCCAGCAGCCGCGGUUACACGGAGGGGGCAAGCGUUAUCCGGAUUUACUGGGUGUUAAGGGAGUGUAGACGGCGAAGAAAGUCUGAAGUGAAAGGCCGCGGCUCAACCGCGGAACUGCUUUGGAAACUUGCUUGCUGGAGUACGGGAGAGGUAGGCGGAAUUCGUAGUGUAGCGGUGAAAUGCGUAGAUAUGACGAGGAACACCAGUGGCGAAGGCAGCUUACUGGACGGUAACUGACGUUGAGGCUCGAAAGCGUGGGGAGCGAACAGGAUUAGAUACCCUAGUAGUC